rnacentral:tRNA from 1 species
GUUUCUAUAGUUGAAUAACAACGAUGAUUUUUCAUGUCAUUGGUCAUAG